rnacentral:rRNA from 1 species
GUGUCAGCCGCCGCGGUAAUACGGAGGGUGCUAGCGUUGUUCGGAAUUACUGGGCGUAAAGCGAGUGCAGGCGGUUUGGCAAGUCAGGUGUGAAAGCCCGGGGCUCAACCCCGGAAGUGCAUUUGAAACUGCCUUACUUGAGUAUGGGAGAGGAGAGUGGAAUUCCCAGUGUAGAGGUGAAAUUCGUAGAUAUUGGGAGGAACACCCGUGGCGAAGGCGGCUCUCUGGACCAAUACUGACGCUGAGACUCGAAAGCGUGGGGAGCAAACAGGAUUAGAAACCCGCGUAGUCC